rnacentral:snoRNA from 1 species
AAGGCUAUACUUUCAGGGAUCAUUUCUACAGUGUUUUACUAGAAAAGUUCCUCUGAUCCUGUAGAGUACCUAGAGCAUAGG